rnacentral:rRNA from 1 species
CAGCAGCCGCGGGAAUACGGAGGGUGCAGGCGUUAAUCGGAACUACUGGGCGUAAAGCGUGCGUAGGCGGUUCGUUAAGUCUGUCGUGAAAGCCCCGGGCUCAACCUGGGAAUGGCAAUGGAUACUGGCGAGCUAGAGUGUGUCAGAGGAUGGUGGAAUUCCCGGUGUAGCGGUGAAAUGCGUAGAGAUCGGGAGGAACAUCAGUGGCGAAGGCGGCCAUCUGGGACAACACUGACGCUGAGGCACGAAAGCGUGGGGAGCAAACAGGAUUAGAUACCCCGGUAGUCCCUGUCUCUUAUAC